rnacentral:rRNA from 1 species
UACGUAGGGGGCAAGCGUUGUCCGGAAUCAUUGGGCGUAAAGAGCGCGUAGGCGGCCCUGUAAGUCCGCUGUGAAAGUCAAGGGCUCAACCCUUGGAUGCCGGUGGAUACUGCAGGGCUAGAGUCCGGAAGAGGCGAGUGGAAUUCCUGGUGUAGCGGUGAAAUGCGCAGAUAUCAGGAGGAACACCGAUGGCGAAGGCAGCUCGGUGGGACGGUACUGACGCUGAGGCGCGAAAGCGUGGGGAGCAAACAGG